rnacentral:rRNA from 1 species
CCUACGGGAGGCAGCAGUCGAGAAUCAUUCACAAUGGGGGAAACCCUGAUGGUGCGACGCCGCGUGGGGGAAUGAAGGUCUUCGGAUUGUAAACCCCUGUCAUGUGGGAGCAAAUUAAAAAGAUAGUACCACAAGAGGAAGAGACGGCUAACUCUGUGCCAGCAGCCGCGGUAAUACAGAGGUCUCAAGCGUUGUUCGGAAUCACUGGGCGUAAAGCGUGCGUAGGCUGUUUCGUAAGUCGUGUGUGAAAGGCGCGGGCUCAACCCGCGGACGGCACAUGAUACUGCGAGACUAGAGUGAGGGAGGGGGAACCGGAAUUCUCGGUGUAGCAGUGAAAUGCGUAGAUAUCGAGAGGAACACUCGUGGCGAAGGCGGGUUCCUGGACAGUAACUGACGCUGAGGCACGAAGGCCAGGGGAGCGAAAGGGAUUAGAUACCCCGGUAGUC